rnacentral:rRNA from 1 species
AACGAACGCUGGCGGCAUGCCUAACACAUGCAAGUCGAACGAGACCUUCGGGUCUAGUGGCGCACGGGUGCGUAACGCGUGGGAACCUGCCCUUAGGUUCGGAAUAACUCCCCGAAAGGGGUGCUAAUACCGGAUAAUGUCUUCGGACCAAAGAUUUAUCGCCUUUGGAUGGGGCCGCGUUGGAUUAGCUAGUUGGUAGGGUAAAAGCCUACCAAGGCGACGAUCCAUAGCUGGUCUGAGAGGAUGAUCAGCCACACUGGGACUGAGACACGGCCCAGACUCCUACGGGAGGCAGCAGUGGGGAAUAUUGGACAAUGGGCGAAAGCCUGAUCCAGCAAUGCCGCGUGAGUGAUGAAGGCCUUAGGGUUGUAAAGCUCUUUUACCCGGGAUGAUAAUGACAGUACCGGGAGAAUAAGCACCGGCUAACUCCGUG